UACGAAGGUGGCAAGCGUUGUUCGGAUUCACUGGGCGUACAGGGAGCGUAGGCGGUUGGGUAAGCCCUCCGUGAAAUCUCCGGGCCUAACCCGGAAAGUGCAGAGGGGACUGCUCGGCUUGAGGACGGGAGAGGAGCGCGGAAUUCCCGGUGUAGCGGUGAAAUGCGUAGAGAUGCGGAGGAACACCGAUGGCGAAGGCAGCCCCCUGGGUCGACACUGACGCUCAGGCACGAAAGCGUGGGGAGCAAACAGG
rnacentral:rRNA from 1 species